CAGGUAAUUUUUACCCACCAGUGAAUGCAGUGUGUAUUGGGAUUGUUCAUGGUGUUGUUGGAAAAGUAAAAGCACACACAGAUUCAGAAUGGAAAUUGAUUUUGAUCAAAAAUCAAAGCCUUGUUGGUCAUAUUCUUGAAACUCAUGACAUCUUCCAGAUUAAUAAAAUUGCCAUCCUCAGUUUGUCUGGUUUAGAACCAACAGAACUAGGACUUUCACCCUGUCCAAGACAUCAUGGUUCGAACAAAGAGAAACAAGGUUCACAAAUCUCUCUGCCACAAGCCAGCAGUAAACCUUUGCAGAAAACAUGGAACUCUGUUAAAUCAGCAGUUGAAAAUGUAAAACCGAAAAAG
rnacentral:lncRNA from 1 species